AACAAGGUCUCCGUAGGUGAACCUGCGCAGGGAUCAUUACACAAAUAUGAAGGCGGGCUGGAACCUCUCGGGGUUACAGCCUUGCUGAAUUAUUCACCCUUGUCUUUUGCGUACUUCUUGUUUCCUUGGUGGGUUCGCCCACCACUAGGACAAACAUAAACCUUUUGUAAUUGCAAUCAGCGUCAGUAACAAAUUAAUAAUUACAACUUUCAACAACGGAUCUCUUGGUUCUGGCAUCGAUGAAGAACGCAGCGAAAUGCGAUAAGUAGUGUGAAUUGCAGAAUUCAGUGAAUCAUCGAAUCUUUGAACGCACAUUGCGCCCUUUGGUAUUCCAAAGGGCAUGCCUGUUCGAGCGUCAUUUGUACCCUCAAGCUUUGCUUGGUGUUGGGCGUCUUGUCUCUAGCUUUGCUGGAGACUCGCCUUAAAGUAAUUGGCAGCCGGCCUACUGGUUUCGGAGCGCAGCACAAGUCGCACUCUCUAUCAGCAAAGGUCUAGCAUCCAUUAAGCCUUUUUUUCAACUUUUGACCUCGGAUCAGGUAGGGAUACCCGCUGAACUUAAGCAUAUCAAUAAGCGGAGGAAGAGCAAAAGAAACCAACAGGGAUUGCCCUAGUAACGGCGAGUGAAGCGGCAACAGCUCAAAUUUGAAAUCUGGCUCUUUUAGAGUCCGAGUUGUAAUUUGCAGAGGGCGCUUUGGCUUUGGCAGCGGUCCAAGUUCCUUGGAACAGGACGUCACAGAGGGUGAGAAUCCCGUACGUGGUCGCUGGCUAUUGCCGUGUAAAGCCCCUUCGACGAGUCGAGUUGUUUGGGAAUGCAGCUCUAAAUGGGAGGUACAUUUCUUCUAAAGCUAAAUAUUGGCCAGAGACCGAUAGCGCACAAGUAGAGUGAUCGAAAGAUGAAAAGCACUUUGGAAAGAGAGUCAAACAGCACGUGAAAUUGUUGAAAGGGAAGCGCUUGCAGCCAGACUUGCUUACAGUUGCUCAUCCGGGUUUCUACCCGGUGCACUCUUCUGUAGGCAGGCCAGCAUCAGUUUGGGCGGUAGGAUAAAGGUCUCUGUCACGUACCUCCUUUCGGGGAGGCCUUAUAGGGGAGACGACAUACUACCAGCCUGGACUGAGGUCCGCGCAUCUGCUAGGAUGCUGGCGUAAUGGCUGUAAGCGGCCCGUC
rnacentral:rRNA from 1 species